GAGUUUGAUCAUGGCUCAGAACGAACGCUGGUGGCGUGGAUAAGACAUGCAAGUCGAACGAGAAACUUACUUAGCUUGCUUUGAAAGUUUCUAGUGGCGGACGGGUGAGUAACACGUGAGUUACCUGCCCCGAAGUGGGGGAUAGCCUUCCGAAAGGGGGAUUAAUACCCCAUGUGAUCGCAAGAUUAAAGGCGGCCAUCUUUGAUGGCUGUCGCUUCGGGAUGGGCUCGCGGCCUAUCAGCUAGUUGGUGAGGUAACUGCUUACCAAGGCGAUGACGGGUAGCUGGUCUGAGAGGACGACCAGUCACACUGGAACUGAGACACGGUCCAGACACCUACGGGUGGCAGCAGUCGAGAAUCAUUCGCAAUGGGCGAAAGCCUGACGGUGCGACGCCGCGUGGAGGAUGAAGGCCCUAGGGUCGUAAACUCCUGUCAUCAGGGAGUAAUGGCUCACGUAGUAACUGCCGUGAGCAGUGAUAGUACCUGAAGAGGAAGGGACGGCAAACUUCGUGCCAGCAGCCGCGGUAAUACGAAGGUCUCAAGCGUUGUUCGGAUUUACUGGGCGUAAAGCGUCUGUAGGCGGAGUGGUAAGUCAGAUGUGAAAUCCCGGGGCUCAACCCCGGAACUGCAUCCGAUACUGCCACCCUAGAGGGUCGGAGGGGAGUCU
rnacentral:rRNA from 1 species